AUGCCCAUGGGGCCGCGCCUCCUGCAGCACUACCGCUCCCGCUCCGCCUCCUACGCGCGCUCGCCCGACGCCGACGCCCUCCACGGCAGCCCCGGCCCCGGCACCGCGGCCGCCGCCGACGCCCUCGACUGCCCCUUCGGCCGCCUCGAUGGCCUCUCCCGCGCCGACGUCCGCGAGGCCGCCUACGAGGUCUUCUUCAUGUCCUGCCGCGCCGGCGGCGGCGGCAACGCCAAGGGCGCGGCAUGUGACGGCGCCGAAGGCGGGGACGCCUCGCCCAGGAUCGGCGCCGGGCCCAGGGGCGGCACCGGGAUGAACGUCGUCAACAGCCGGGUCAAGCGCGCGCUCGGGCUCAAGGCGCGCAGGGCCACGCAGCCGUCCACCGCCCUGCGCAGCGGCAGCAUGAACGCCUCGUCCGCGCCGGGUUCCCCCGGCCGCGCCGUGCGGGCGCCGGCCGGGUCGCCCAGGGCCAGGCGGCCCAUGACCUCCGCCGAGAUCAUGCGGCAGCAGAUGCGCGUCACGGAGCACGGCGACGCGCGCCUCCGCAAGACGCUCAUGCGCACCCUCGUCGGACAGGUGGGCAGAAGAGCGGAGACGAUCAUCCUGCCGCUGGAGCUGCUGCGGCAGCUCAAGCUGCCCGACUUUGCCGACGGCGCCGAGCACCACCAGUGGCAGCGCCGCCAGCUCAAGCUCCUCGAGGCGGGCCUCAUCACGCACAGCUCUGUCCCGCUCGACCACCGCCACAGCGCCUCCGUGCUCCGGUUCCGCGAGGUCGUGGAGGCAGCCGAGGCCCGCGCCAUCGACACCGGCAAGGCCUCCGACGCCAUGCGCGCCCUCUGCGACGCCGUGCUCGCGCUCGCCUGGCGCUCCGCCCCCGCCGGCGAGGCCUGCCACUGGGCCGACGGGUACCCUCUCAACGUGCUCCUUUACGUCUCCCUCCUCCAGGGCAUCUUCGACCUCAGGGACGAGACCGUCGUGCUCGACGAGGUGGACGAGCUCCUGGAGCUCAUGAGGAGGACGUGGGCGACGCUCGGCAUCAACCGGAUGCUGCACAACGUGUGCUUCGCCUGGGUCCUCUUCCAGCAGUACGUGGCCACCGGGCAGGUCGAGCCGGACCUCGCCGGCGCGGCGCUCGCGGUGCUCGCGGAGGUGGCCGCUGACGCCGGCGCCAGGCAGGACAACCCCCGUGACCCCGUGUACGCGCGGGUCUUCUCCACCGCUCUUGGCGCGAUACGUGACUGGUCCGAGAAGCGCCUGCUUGACUACCACGAGUGGUACGGGAAUGGCGGCACCGGCACCGGCACCGCGGCGUUGGAGUGCGCUCUGUCUUUGGCGCUCGGCGCGGGCAAGAUCAUCGCCGAAAGUGUGCACACGGAUCACGAAUGCGGCGGCGAUCGCGUCGAUUACUACAUCCGUUGCUCGAUGAGAAGCGCCUUCACCAAGGUCCUGGAGAGCGGGCUCGGGCAGGAGCACGGCAUGGUCUCCGGCCACCAGCGCGACGUGGACGACACCAGCGGGAUCCUGACGCAGCUCGCCAAGGACACGGAGGAGCUGGCCCAGUGGGAGCGCGAGUGCUUCAGCCGGGAGCUGAGGCGGUGGCACCCGUUCCCGGCGGCGGUGGCCGCGGUGACCCUGCACGGCUGCUACGGCGUGGUGCUGAAGCAGUACCUGGGCAAGGCCGUCUGCCUGACCGACGAGCUGGUGCGCGUGCUGCACGCGGCGGGCAGGCUCGAGAAGGCCCUGGUGCAGAUGGUGGCGGACGACGACGGCGAGCCGGUGGUGCGGGAGGUGGUGCCCUACGAUGUCGAGUCCGUCGUGGUCGGCUUCCUCCGGACGUGGGUCGAGGAGCGGCUCAGGGUCGCCAGGGAGUGCCUCCUCAGAGCCAAAGACACCGAGAGCUGGACCGCGAGGUCCAAGAAUGAGCCGUACGCGCAGUCGGCGGUGGACCUGAUGAAGCUGGCCAAGGCCACCCUUGACGAGUUCUUCGCGAUCCCGGUGAGCGCGAGGGACGGCAUGCUGCAGGACCUCGCCGACGGCCUCGGCGCCGUCUUCCAGGACUACGUCUCCUUCCUCGCCUCCUGCGGCAACAAGCAGAGCUACCUCCCGCCGCUGCCGGCGCUGACGAGGUGCAACCAGGACUCGACGAUCAAGCGGCUGUGGAAGAGGGCGGCGGUGGCGCCGUGCCGGGUGCCCCUGACGAGCGGCGGGCGCGGCAACGCGUCGUACCACGGCGGAGGCCAGAGCGUGAGCGCGGCCGGCGGGCACAACCCGCGGCCGUCCACCAGCCGCGGCACGCAGCGCCUCUACGUCCGGCUCAACACGAUCCACUACAUCCUCAGCCACAUCCAGGCGCUGGACAAGUCGCUCUCCUUCUUCUCCGCGGGCGGCGGAGCAUGCACCUCGCCGUCCACCACGAGCCGGCUCCUCGCCGCACCGUGCUGCCACUUCGACCACGCGCGUACCGCGGCCCAGACGGCGAUCGCCCACGUCGCCGAGGUGGCCGCGUACCGGCUCAUCUUCUUCGACUCGCACCACUCGUUCUACGACGGGCUGUACGCCGGCGGCGUGGCCGACGCGCGCAUCCGGCCGGCGCUCCGCACGCUGAAGCAGAACCUGUCGCUCCUCGUCUCCAUCCUGGUGGACCGCGCGCAGCCGGUGGCGGUGCGGGAGGUGAUGAAGGCCUCGUUCCAGGCGUUCCUGAUGGUGCUGCUGGCCGGCGGCAACCACCGGAGCUUCACGAGGGAGGACCACGGCAUGGUGGAGGAGGACCUGCGGAGCCUGAAGCGGGCCUUCUGCACGCGCGGGGAGGGCCUGGUGGCGGAGGACGUGGUGGAGAGCGAGGCCGAGGCCGCCGAGGGCGUGGUCGCGCUCAUGGGGCAGACGGCGGAGCGGGUCGUGGAGGAGCUAAGCAUCGCGACGACGACGGCGGCGGCCUGCGGCGGGUCGCCCCGGGCCGCUCUGCCGAUGCCGCUGACGACGAGGCGGUGGUGCCGGACGGACCCGGACACGAUCCUCCGCGUGCUCUGCCACCGCGACGACGAGGCCGCGAGCCAGUUCCUGAAGCGCGCGUUCCAGCUCCCCAAGAGGCGGUGA
rnacentral:rRNA from 1 species